rnacentral:lncRNA from 1 species
UCCUAGUCUCCUCAUUAUUUUCAUGGACAGGCAGUUCCUCCUGUCUUGCAGCACUUCUCAGCCCCUUUUUAACAUUCCCUUUUCUAUCCUUUACAUACAGGUGCUGUUUUGCUCCACUGCCACAAUUAAAAUCCCCUAGACAGAGGCAGUACAAAGGUGCUCUUUGCUCUCUUGUUCCUCAAAGCAUGGACAUCAAGAACUGGAUCCCAGCCCACUGACAUCAAUGGGAGCCCUUCCAUUCACCUCAUGAAGUCUGUGCCAGGUCAAGGAAGAACACAGAUGAGAGAAGGCAAUUUGGCUGUCACAUUUUCCUUUCAUCAAGAGCUUUACACAGAAAAAAACUCUUUUUAAUGUAACUUCUGCUGCUGAGUUGGAGAUUUUUGUCCCUGUGAAGUGAAUUUCCACUAAUAACUACAGAGGUUUUCAGGAUGGGUCUGAGAAUGGAGCAAAGAACUAGAGUUACAUGGGACAUCUGAGGAGCCAAAACAUGGUUCUAAGGGCAUGACUCUGGAGCUAUCAGCUUUCUAAGGAGGAAAUGUACUGAGUGACAGAGCCAUCUGAAGUGUUCAGGUUGUUUGCAAUAUGGAUGCUGGAGAAUAAGCAAAAUCACCCAUGAAAGGAGCCAUGAAGUUUGUGGUGGAAGCCAGAAUUAGAGCCAAUUCCAGAGAUGAGCAAUAUUCCCACCUUGGUUCACAGCUCUCGUGCUACAAGCAUGGUCUACAAAAGCAAAGGUUGGUCUCUCCAAUGCCAGCAGAUGAAAGGACAUUCAGUUCUGCUCUGAGCAGCAUUUUCAUUUCCUCUGGGUCUUGUGGAGCUCCUGCCGUUGACCAACUCACUCUGCAGCCAUGCCUCCUCAUCUUUCGGCAUCUCAGACACCCACAGAAUAUUUGGAAGAAGGCUGAAAAUGAGAGACAAAUUCCAAUACUGAGGACACCAAGCAGUGCAGCACUUUGA